rnacentral:rRNA from 1 species
CAGCCGCCGCGGUAAUACGGAGGGAGCUAGCGUUGCUCGGAAUCACUGGGCGUAAAGCGCACGUAGGCGGCUAUUCAAGUCAGGGGUGAAAGCCCGGGGCUCAACCCCGGAACUGCCUUUGAAACUAGAUAGCUUGAAUCUUGGAGAGGCGAGUGGAAUUCCGAGUGUAGAGGUGAAAUUCGUAGAUAUUCGGAAGAACACCAGUGGCGAAGGCGACUCGCUGGACAAGUAUUGACGCUGAGGUGCGAAAGCGUGGGGAGCAAACAGGAUUAGAUACCCGAGUAGUCCCUGUCUCUUAUAC